rnacentral:rRNA from 1 species
AACGAACGCUUGCGGCGUGCUUAACACAUGCAAGUCGAACGAGAAAGGGGCUUCGGCCCUGAGUAAAGUGGCGCACGGGUGAGUAACGCGUAGGUAAUCUACCCCUGUGUUCGGGACAACAUCGGGAAACUGGUGCUAAUACCGGAUACGUUUCACGGAUUGCGAAAUAAGUGAAGGAAAGGUGGCGCCCCUUCGGGGGGCUAUUGCACGGGGAUGAGCCUGCGUACCAUUAGCUAGUUGGCAGGGUAAGGGCCUACCAAGGCGACGAUGGUUAGCGGGUCUGAGAGGAUGAUCCGCCACACUGGAACUGAAACACGGUCCAGACUCCUACGGGUGGCUG